rnacentral:sRNA from 1 species
GCCGGGUGUGGUAGCUCACACCUGUAAUCCUAGCACUCUGGGAGGCCAAGGCAGAUGGAUUGCCUGAGCUUAGGAAUUCAAGACCAGCCUAAGAGGAAGACCUCCAUCUCUACAAAUAGCUGGGCAUUAUGGUGGGUGCCAUAGUCCCAGCUACUCAGGAGGCUGAGGCAAGAGGAUUGCUUAAGCCCAAGAGUUUGAGGUUGUAGUGAGCUAUGAUGCCAUGACACUCUACCAAGGGUGACAAAAUAAGACUCUGUCU